UUCCUCUUUAACGAGUGAGUUAGUUGUUUGGUAGUUUGUACACAUGAAUCCACAUACAUUUUUUCUGACCCAAUUUUCGUUUCUUCUUGUCAUCCAUAUCUUUUCUUAACCAACCUUUAAUUUCGUUCUUAAUUUAUCUCCACAGUGUCUUAGGUGAAAAAUUAUCCAGCUAAAUGUAUCUCUUAAUACAUUCUGGUUCAACUACUGUUUCCUCUGAACCGCCAUUGUGCCUCACCAUUGGUUAAUGACCUUUAUAUUAUCAAUUUUUGGUGCAACUCCGUCCUUAAAACUAACUACAUCAUCAUCACCAUCACCAUCAAUUACCACAAAAAAAACAUCAACAAACAUCAGCAUAUCCAGCUAAACUGCUUGCUAUAUUUAUAUAUUUUAUUCAUCUUAUUACAUCGCCAUCAUUUUUAUACUUCCAUUUGUAUUUUUUUCACCAUCUUUUUUAAUCACCACAAGUCCAAAUGAAUUUACAACUACAUUAUAAGUUAUCAUUACAACCUCUUCUAACCACAGCUUCGUCGACAACAACAACAAGCUCACCAUCAACCAUGAUAGAUGAAAUUUAUUCUCAUGAAUUGGAAAGUUAUUUUCCUACAAGGACUGAGGAGAAGAGUGAACAACUAAAAAAGUCCUGUUCUUUUUCCAAUUUUCAAAGUUUACUUAGCCAAGAAGAGUCCAAUAAGAAUAAGUUUCUCGUUGAUUUAACGCAGAAGAAGCUCAAAAUUUUUGCCUUUCUGAGCGAAUCUUCAUCCAGCGCCUUUCGGAACAAAAUUUUACUCCAAAAUACACUUAAGAAACAUAACAAAGACGAUGAAAACGGAUCAUCAACUGAGCCAAUCAGAAUAACAGAUGAAGACUACAAUUCAUUUAUGAACUCAGAGUCUUACAAUGUGCCUACAAUGAAUGUUAAAUUUACUCCUAGGAAAAGAGAAUUAAGAGAAAUUAAUGAAACAAACUGUACAGAUGGAGACGAAUGGAGGACAGAUUUCAAAAAGUUAAAAGUAUCCUGCCCAUCCGAAGAAAGUGAAAUGAAAGCAUCUAGCAGUGAAAAAGAUGACGAUUUUUUACCUGAUGAUUUGGCUUCUGUGUUACUAGCCUUAAGAACAUUAGAAUAGUUAAAACAUCAUAAUUAUAAAUACAACAAUUAUGAAAUAUGUACAGCCAACAAGUUCAUCUUUUCAAGUUUGUAAAUACUUCAUAUGCGCAGUUAACCAAAUGAGAUAGUCUAUCACAGAGUUACAAUGAUAAUUUUUGUAUUUAAUAUAUGUUUUUAAAGAGCUAUUUAACUACCAAACCGUUUAACCAAUUCAUCCUUGAUAUGUGCUAUUGCCGCGCAUUAGAUAUAGAAAUUAUCAGCAAACUUGAAUCCUUUGUUGUACAAACAUCCAAACCAGUAAAUAUUUAUUCCCGGAAUCAAGUACGAUCUGUAUAUAAGAAUGAUGGUAAUCGCACGAUUUUUUCACCUUCGAAGUCGCCAAACGGCCUAUCAAAAUUUUGUUAACGACAGCAAAGAUGCAUCCAACAAUCAAAUCAGAGCUCUAUCGAGUAUUUUCAAACUCUUCAUCGAUAUUCUCUUGUAACAUAAUUUAAACUCUGCCUGAAGUUAAAGAUGACAUUUGUAUUGAAACGUUUUGUUCUCAAUUUUGUAAAUUUUGAAAAAACAAUAAAUCAUUUAUCUUCUUUCA